UACGUAGGGGGCAAGCGUUGUCCGGAAUCAUUGGGCGUAAAGCGCGCGUAGGCGGCCCUGUAAGUCCGUUGUGAAAGUCAAAGGCUCAACCUUUGAAAGCCGAUGGAUACUGCAAGGCUAGAGUCCGGAAGAGGCGAGUGGAAUUCCUGGUGUAGCGGUGGAAUGCGCAGAUAUCAGGAGGAACACCAAUAGCGAAGGCAGCUCGCUGGGACGGUACUGACGCUAAGGCGCGAAAGCGUGGGGAGCGAACAGG
rnacentral:rRNA from 1 species